GAUGAACGCUGGCGGCGUGCCUAAUACAUGCAAGUCGAGCGAACAGACGAGGAGCUUGCUCCUCUGACGUUAGCGGCGGACGGGUGAGUAACACGUGGAUAACCUACCUAUAAGACUGGGAUAACUUCGGGAAACCGGAGCUAAUACCGGAUAAUAUAUUGAACCGCAUGGUUCAAUAGUGAAAGACGGUUUUGCUGUCACUUAUAGAUGGAUCCGCGCCGCAUUAGCUAGUUGGUAAGGUAACGGCUUACCAAGGCAACGAUGCGUAGCCGACCUGAGAGGGUGGUCGGCCACACGGGAACUGAGACACCGUCCAGACUCCUACGGGAGGCAGCAGUAGGGAAUCUUCCGCAAUGGGCGAAAGCUUGACGGAGCAACGCCGCGUGAGUGAUGAAGGUCUUCGGAUCGUAAAACUCUGUUUUUAGGGAAGAACAAAUGUGUAAGUAACUAAGCACGUCUUGACGGUACCUAAUCAGAAAGCCACGGCUAACUACGUG
rnacentral:rRNA from 1 species